GCAGGACCCACUGGUAAAUAAGGGACGAAAUUCAGUUCUGUUGCUCAGUAUAGAUGUUUGGGAGCAUGCUUACUACUUGCAGGAAUAAAUGGCAUACUACAGGAUCACCCUUUAUCUAUGCUUCUUUCAGAAUUGCUGCAGCACUUAUUGAACUACUUGUUUGGGUAAUGAAUGUCAUCUGGGAAAUGAAUGUCAUCCCCAUUGAAGUGCCAAAACUCUUUCCGUUAUAUUUGACAGAGGGUUGAUUGGAAUCUAUCUUCCACAAAGUGCUUGUAGAGGAAGAAUUUGUCUCCCACAAGAUGAACUUGCACAAGCUGGCUUGUCAGAUGAUGACACAGUUCAUGGAAAAGUGACUGGAUAAAUGGCUUGGUUUCAUGAAGGGCCACAUAAAAGCGAGCUAGGAUGUUCUAUGAUGAAGCGGAGAAUGGGGUUCCUGAGCUCAAAUUAGCAGAGUAGAUGGGGUGUAUGGGCAUGGUUGUUGCCGACAGAUUUUGGAUGCCAUUGGAGCUAAUGAUUACAACUACUUCACAAAACAGGCUUAGGUAGGAAAAGCACUAAUAUCAGUUCCAUUAGUCUACUUUGGAUUCCUGGGGAUACUAUAGUGCAGCAGCAUGAAGAGUUGCCCAGCAAGAAAGCAUGCUGAGAGACACUAGGAAGAUCCUUUAAUGCUUAUUGUCACUUAUGAGGGUGAUCAUAACCAUUCAAGGUUACUAUCAUCACAAUCUGCCCAUCAUGAGAACUUCAUGGAUAUUCUUCAAAGGAGAGGGGGAAAAAAAUAACUCCAAAAAUCAUGGAUAUCCUUCAAAGGAGAGGGGGGAAAAAAAGACUCCAAAAAUUCUACUGCCAACUUUUCACGUACAACUUCAUGUUUUCUUAUGAAUUGCUCCUGUAUAUAUAUCACUGAUAGUGGGAACUGGGAAGGAUCUGUUGUAAGAUAAAUGGGAUUUCUAAGUCUUUUUCAGCUUUCUGGAUAAGUCUGGUUUUAGACGCAACCAGAAUUUUUAAGGCCUUUUUAUAUAGAAUUCGGCAUAAAUUUCCAGAGUUCCUUUAUAAAGGACCAAAGGAAUUUUUAAACCCCUUUUGUAAAACAUAUUAUUCUUAAUUACUGCAUUCUUAAUUCUUAAAUGAU